GACGAACGCUGGCGGCGUGCUUAACACAUGCAAGUCGAACGGAAAGGCCCUGCUUUUGUGGGGUUCUCGAGUGGCGAACGGGUGAGUAACACGUGAGUAACCUGCCCUUGACUUUGGGAUAACUUUAGGAAACUCGGGCUCAUACCGGAUAGAAGCUCCUGCUGCAUGGUGGUGGUUGGAAAGUUUCGGCGGUUGGGGAUGGACUCGCGGCUUAUCAGCUUGUUGGUGGGGUAGUGGCUUACCAAGGCUUUGACGGGUAGCCGGCCUGAGAGGGUUACCGGGCACAUUGGGACUGAGAGACGGCCCAGACGCGUACGGGAGGCAGUAGGGGAGAAUAUUGCAAAACGGGCGGAAGUGUGAGGCGAAGACGCCGGGUGCGGGAUGACGGGCUUCGGGUUGUAAACCGCUUUCGCCUGUGACGAAGCGUGAGUGACGGUAAUGGGUAAAGAAGCAACGGCUAACUACGUG
rnacentral:rRNA from 1 species